UAGAGUUUGAUCCUGGCUCAGGGCUAACGCUGGCAGCGUGCCUUAGCCAUGCAAGUCGAGCGGGGAAGGCCCUUAUGGGUCUUCCCAGCGGCGGACGGCGGAGUAAUACACCGCUAACCUGCCCUGGGGAGGGGGAUAACCUGCCGAAAGGUGGGCUAAUCCCCCAUACGCUCCCUUGGGGGCAUCCCUGAGGGAGGAAAGGGUCCUAAGGACCUGCCCUAGGAGGGGGCGGUGGCCCAUCAGGUAGUUGGUGGGGUAACGGCCCACCAAGCCUAAGACGGGUAGCCGGCGUGAGAGCGCGGCCGGCCCGAGGGGCACUGAGACACGGGCCCCACUCCUACGGGAGGCAGCAGGCUGGAAAUGUGGGCAAUGGGGGAAACCCUGACCCCGCGACGCUGCGUGCGGGAAGAAGCCCUUCGGGGUGUAAACCGCUUUUGCGGGGGACGAAGGACUGACGGUACCCCGCGAAUAAGCCACGGCUAACCUCGUGCCAGCAGCCGCGGUAAGACGGGGGUGGCGAGCGUUGCCCGGAAUUACUGGGCUUAAAGGGGGUGUAGGCGGCUGGGUGUGUCGGGCGUGUAAUCUUGGGGGCUCAACCCCAANGGCUGCGCCCGAAACUACCUGGCUAGAGGGCGCCAGGGGGAGGCGGAACUCCCGGUGUAGCGGUGAAAUGCGUAGAUAUCGGGGGGAACACCGGAGGCGAAGGCGGCCUCCUGGGGCGCACCUGACGCUGAGGCCCGAAGGCUGGGGGAGCAAAGGGGAUUAGAUACCCCCGUAGUCCCAGCAGUAAACGAUGUGGGCUAGCGGUCUGGCCUUGAGGCUGGGUCGCGAAGGGAAACCGAUAAGCCCACCGCCUGGGGAGUACGCCCGCAAGGGUGAAACUCAAAGGAAUAGACGGGAGCCCGCACAAGCGGCGGAGCGCGUGGUUUAAUUCGAUGCUGACCGAAGAACCUCACCCGGGCUUGACAUCCCGCCGUCAAGCCUGCCCGAAAGGGUAGGUGAGCCUACCGGAGAGGUAGGCAGGCGGGACAGGAGCUGCACGGCUGUCGUCAGCUCGUGUCGUGAGAUGUUGGGUUAAGUCCCGCAACGAGCGCAACCCCUACCCAUAGUUGCCAGCGGGUCGCCCACGUAGGUGGGCGAUGCCGGGGACUCUAUGGGGACUGCCGGCGAGGAGCCGGAGGAAGGAGGGGACGACGUCAAGUCCGUGUGGCCCUUAUGUCCGGGGCUACACACGCGCUACAAUGGGCGGUACAGAGGGAAGCGACCCCGCGAGGGGGAGCAAAUCCCUAAAACCGCCCCCAGUUCGGAUUGCAGGCUGAAACCCGCCUGCAUGAAGGAGGAGUCGCUAGUAAUCACCUAUCAGCUAUGGGGUGGUGAAUACGUUCCCGGGCUCUGUACUCACCGCCCGUCACGCCAUGGGAGCCGGGGGUGCCUGAAGCC
rnacentral:rRNA from 1 species